GGACUUAACGGCUGCUGCUGGAAGCACGUGGGCGCGCCAGGCGCGGCCGGGAGGACGGAGGCCUGCACCGUCCGCGGCCCACCGCCCAGCCCCGCUCCGAGAAGACCUGCUCGGGGCGCCGAGCGACUGCAGUGAGCAGCCCCGAGGAUGCCGCUCCGCCCUGCUGCACACGGGGACCCUGGAGUGGAGCCCGGCCACGUCCCCCGAAGAUACCAGACAGGGGAAGGGCGGUCACCCCCACGUGCUGGAACUAGAGAGAGCUUGUUCCUUCCUAUGCAGUUUGAUUUUUUCCACAUUUUUUAUAAUGAACGUAGAUGUGUACUCUGAUUAAAAACAACAACAAAACCCACAGAACCCAAACCGUCCGGUGUUUUUUGGACAACCCAUUUAAACUAAGCUAGGUAGCUCGGAAAGAACUGGGUGUCAUCCUGGUCACUGCAUUACGAGACUGCGGGGGCAGCCCAAUCAGAAUUCCGAGAUCUGACUGAAAGCUGACCAGCGGGUGCCAGCAAGGAAUCACAUGACCAGCCACAAGGUAACAGCCAGCUAGAGCUCUGCAAAGCUGCACAUAGACCUUGCAAAGAAGCUGACUCCCUACUGAAUCUUUCCACAUUCCACUCCCUCAACAUCCUCCUUAAAAGCCCCUCAGUAAAUCUGAGCCUUUGAGAUGCUUUAUCCUGCCAUGUUCUCAGGUUGCUGGUUAUCCUGAAUAAAGCCUCCUUCCCUUUCUGCCAA